AGAGACCAUAGGUCAAUGGUAGGGCAUCUGUCUUGCAAGCAGAAGGCCUCCAGUUCAAUCCUGGCAUCUCCA